GUGCCCAUAGCACAACUGGAUAAUGCGCCACCCUCCGAAGGUGGAGAUUGUGGGUUCGAAUCCCGCUGGGCACGCCA
rnacentral:tRNA from 1 species